rnacentral:rRNA from 2 species
UACGGGGGGGGCAAGCGUUGUUCGGAAUUACUGGGCGUAAAGGGCUCGUAGGCGGCCAACUAAGUCAGACGUGAAAUCCCUCGGCUUAACCGGGGAACUGCGUCUGAUACUGGAUGGCUUGAGUUUGGGAGAGGGAUGCGGAAUUCCAGGUGUAGCGGUGAAAUGCGUAGAUAUCUGGAGGAACACCGGUGGCGAAGGCGGCAUCCUGGACCAACACUGACGCUGAGGAGCGAAAGCCAGGGGAGCAAACGGG